rnacentral:rRNA from 1 species
AGUUUGAUCAUGGCUCAGAUUGAACGCUGGCGGCAUGCCUUACACAUGCAAGUCGAACGGCAGCACGGGAGCUUGCUCCUGGUGGCGAGUGGCGAACGGGUGAGUAAUACAUCGGAACGUACCCUGAAGUGGGGGAUAACGUAGCGAAAGUUACGCUAAUACCGCAUAUUCUGUGAGCAGGAAAGAGGGGGAUCGCAAGACCUCUUGCUUUAGGAGCGGCCGAUGUCGGAUUAGCUAGUUGGUGAGGUAAAGGCUCACCAAGGCGACGAUCCGUAGCGGGUCUGAGAGGAUGAUCCGCCACACUGGGACUGAGACACGGCCCAGACUCCUACGGGAGGCAGCAGUGGGGAAUUUUGGACAAUGGGCGCAAGCCUGAUCCAGCCAUGCCGCGUGAGUGAAGAAGGCCUUCGGGUUGUAAAGCUCUUUCGGUGGGGAAGAAGUUGCUUCGGUUAAUACCUGGAGUAGAUGACGGUACCCGCAUAAGAAGCACCGGCUAACUACGUG